CCUACGGGGGGCUGCAGUGAGGAAUAUUGGUCAAUGGGCGUAAGCCUGAACCAGCCAUCCCGCGUGCAGGAAGAAGGCGCUAUGCGUCGUAAACUGCUUUUCCAGGGGAAGAAAACCCGAUACGUGUAUCGGCUUGCCGGUACCCUGGGAAUAAGCAUCGGCUAACUCCGUGCCAGCAGCCGCGGUAAUACGGAGGAUGCGAGCGUUAUCCGGAUUAAUGGGUGUGAAAGCGGAUGAAUAAGGAUUCGGUGAAAACCUUCAGCUUAACUGGAGACUUGCCAUUGAUACUGUUAGUCUUGAGUACGGUCAAGGUAGGCGGAAUGUGUAAUGUAGCGGUGAAAUGCUUAGAUAUUACACAGAACACCGAUUGCGAAGGCAGCUUACUGGGCCAUUACUGACGCUGAUGCACGAAAGCGUGGGGAGCGAACAGGAUUAGAUACCCUGGUAGUC
rnacentral:rRNA from 1 species